rnacentral:rRNA from 1 species
GACGAACGCUGGCGGCGUGCUUAACACAUGCGAGUCGAACGGAAAGGCCCUGCUUUUGUGGGGUGCUCGAGUGGCGAACGGGUGAGUAACACGUGAGUAACCUGCCCUUGACUUUGGGAUAACUUCAGGAAACUGGGGCUAAUACCGGAUAGGAGCUCCUGCUGCAUGGUGGGGGUUGGAAAGUUUCGGCGGUUGGGGAUGGACUCGCGGCUUAUCAGCUUGUUGGUGGGGUAGUGGCUUACCAAGGCUUUGACGGGUAGCCGGCCUGAGAGGGUGACCGGCCACAUUGGGACUGAGAUACGGCCCAGACUCCUACGGGAGGCAGCAGUGGGGAAUAUUGCACAAUGGGCGGAAGCCUGAUGCAGCAACGCCGCGUGCGGGAUGACGGCCUUCGGGUUGUAAACCGCUUUCUCCUGUGACGAAGCGUGAGUGACGGUAAUGGGUAAAGAAGCACCGGCUAACUACGUG